UGGGGGCAGGGCUAUCCUGGAGCCAACCUCUCUGUCCCUGGGGAGUCACAAGAGGUCACUUCCGGGGCGUUACCGAGAAGCUGUGAAGGAAGUGACGUAGGGCACGCGCCGGUGGCGUGAUGGAGCAGCAGCAGCAGCAACAGCAGCAGCAGCUCAGAAACCUGCGGGACUUCCUGUUGGUCUACAAUCGGAUGACGGAACUCUGCUUCCAGCGCUGCGUGCCCAGCCUGCACCACCGAGCUCUGGAUGCUGAGGAGGAGGCCUGUCUGCACAGCUGUGCUGGGAAGCUGAUCCAUUCCAACCACCGCCUCAUGGCCGCUUACGUGCAGCUCAUGCCUGCCCUGGUACAGCGCCGCAUCGCAGACUACGAGGCUGCCUCAUCUGUGCCAGGUGUUGCUGCCGAACAGCCCGAAACCUCGCCAUCAGGGAGCUAGCCGUCCCCAACCCCGGGAAGGGAGGCACCGGAUGGACCCUCAUAUUUAAGGAGCCAGUGGACCUUGGGCUGGGUGCGACCUGUAUAUAGAAAGUGAGGAGUUGCCUGAGAGCUAGGUACUGUUGCUCCUUUUCCUGGAGCUAAUAAACCCACUUUUACUUUGUUUGGUUUAUAUUCUGGGCAAGGAAGCUUUGCCCACUUGAUUGACACCAUCUUUAUUAUUCUGUCAGGAUGCUUCAGCCCUGGCAGCAGAGAAAUUGCCUUCAAUGUGUAGAAGGAAAACGUCAGCAUUCCCAGGCACCUGGUUAAAGCGACAUCUGAAGGAUUCUUAUUUGUGCCCUCAUUGAACCCUUUUAUGUCUCGUUCACCAUUACGUCCACAGCACUUGGUAGAGUGCCAUAAACAACAACAAAAGCACGCAGCUCACACAGCUAGGUGUGUCCAUGUGAUCGAGUGAUGCAUGCAUUGCCAGGUUGUGCCCUUAAGGGUAAGGGUGGGCCUUCUCCUACUCUUUCCCCCAUCUCACUACUUGGGAUGAGGCCCAACACACAUGGUGGUGAACUGUCUUGGACCUUGAAGAUAAGGACCACUUCCUUGAAGAAGGCAGAACAACUAAAAGGCUGCCAUAUUAGCCCUGGAGUACUUAUUCCUGGACAGUUGUGUGAGAGAAAAAGGAGUUUUCUCUGGCUGGAUGCAGAAGAGAAUGUCAGAAAGAUUUGAAACAUAAGAAGGAUUUGAGGCACUGCUGCUGGUUUGAAGAUGAAGGUGCCAUAUGGCAAGGAAGACAGGUGGCCUCUAGGACCUGAGAGUGGCCCCUGAGGCCCAGGAGGAAACAGGGACCUCAGUCCCACAACCACAAGAAACUGAAUCCUGUCAACAACAAGAAUGAGCUUGGAGGAGGAUUUUCCCCCAGAGCCUCCAGACAAGAACUCAGCCCAGAUGACCUUUCAGGCUUAUGAUAUCCUGAGCAGAGAACCCAGUCAGGCCAUGCUGGGCAUCGAUGUACAGAACUGUGAGAUACUAAAUGGAUGUUGUUUUAAAGCUGCUUAGUUUGUGGCAAUUGGUUACACAGCCACAGAAAACUUCUCUGUCUUCUAAAUGAACCGUAAGCAGAGAUGUACUGUAUGAAGGCUCUGGCGGGGGUGGGGGGGGGGAGCAUGCUCAGUGUGAUCCAGGCACAGAGGAGUGGUGUGAAUAGGGAUAGAUGGUCAAAAGGCCACAGAGGUAGCAGCCAGCUGAUGAGAUAGCAAAUUGUAGGCUGUGUAGGACUUUGGCUUUCCUGAGGGAAUGAGAUGAUAAGGCAUUAGUGAGUUUUGAGCAGAGGAGUCAUAGGAUCUGCCUGUAUUUGAAAAAGGUCACUGGCUGCUCUGAAAAGAGCAGAUUGUAGGGGCAAGGGAGGAAACAGAGACCAGUUAGAAGUCUAUGGAAUAAUCUAGGUGAGAGGUGAUAGUGGCCUAGACCAAGGUUUAGCUCUUGGGGUGGUGAGAAAUAGUUGGAUUUUGGAUAUAUUUUGAAGCUAUAGCUUAACAAAAUUUGCUAAAGCAUUAGACAUGGGAUGUGUGUGGGGGGAGAGGGGAGUCAAAGGUGACGCUAAAUUUUGACCCAAGCAACUGGAAAAAUGGACUUGGUAUUUACUGAGAUGGGGAAGACAGUGAAAGGAACAGGUUUAUUUGGAAGGAGGCAGUUAGGAGUCUGGUUUUGGACAUUUUAAGUUUUUAAGUUUGGGAUUCUUAUCAGAUUUAUAAAGCAGAGGUGGGACUCUA